rnacentral:lncRNA from 1 species
UCAGACUACAGGAAAUGGAUGGCGAUGAAUUUCCACAUAUUAUCAACUCAGACACCGUGAAAUGGUACUAUGUCUGAGGAUAUCAUCAAGCAAACAUCCUGGUAUGGAUCAUCCAAUCAACAGUCAUUCCGGUUCAUUAACCUCUCUUUUACAAACUCUUCCGCCCCUCAGGGAAACAUACACUUCAAACCAGCAGCUUGGUUUCACCUCAUUUCAAACCUUUCACAUAAUUUUGGUUAUCCUGAAGACGGGAUUGAACCUUUUACACAUGCAGUUUAUCCUGAAGAAGGGAUUAAACUUUUCUACGCCUGCAGUUUUUCCUGAAGACGAGAUCAAACUUUUUCCACACCUACAGUUUGUCCCAAUCAUGGGAUCAAACUCUUUUCUCCCCACAGUAUAGCCUACACAUGGGAUUCACACUUCUCUUUUGUUGCAAUUUGUCCUGAGGGGCGAACUAUGUCAACCUGAUCUCCCAGAUACCCGGGAGUACGUAGGCAACCAUAUUCUAUAUGGCCCAUUCGUAAUAAAACAAAAAAAAAACAAAAACAUUUCUGCCCUUUUUCUACAAAAACAAAAACCACAAAAAUACUUAUACACCCUUCUUCAUCAAUAAAGCUUCUACAUCCAUCUGCCUUUCACAUUACGUGUUGAACCUCUUACACCAGGUUCGAACUAUGCAGACUUGAUCUCCUCUUCAAUAGGAGUACAUAGGCAGCCAUUUAUGGUUCAGUCUAACCCUUACCAAAACAAAAAUACUUGUCACACGGUACUAGGAUCAAACUUUAAUCCAUUACAGUUCAUCGGCUUCAGACCAAAGGGAUGGAAUUAUCCAACCUCUCCUCAUAAAUAGGAGAUUUGGUGACCAUCUAAGAUGCGGUUGUGCCUCAAAGAGCAACACCAAUCCAUAAGAGAUGGAAUUAAC